AGACGGGGCCCGCACAAGCGGUGAGCAUGUGGUUUAAUUCGAAGCAACGCGAAGAACCUUACCAGGUCUUGACAUCCCGAUGCUAUUUCUAGAGAUAGAAAGUUUGCUUCGGUACAUCGGUGACAGGUGGUGCAUGGUUGUCGUCAGCUCGUGUCGUGAGAUGUUGGGUUAAGUCCCGCAACGAGCGCAACCCCUAUUGUUAGUUGCCAUCAUUCAGUUGGGCACUCUAGCGAGACUGCCGGUAAUAAACCGGAGGAAGGUGGGAUGACGUCAAAUCAUCAUGCCCCUUAUGACCUGGGCUACACACGUGCUACAAUGGUUGGUACAACGAGUUGCGAGUCGGUGACGGCGAGCUAAUCUCUUAAAGCCAAUCUCAGUUCGGAUUGUAGGCUGCAACUCGCCUACAUGAAGUCGGAAUCGCUAGUAAUCGCGGAUCAGCACGCCGCGGUCGAAUACGUUCCCGGGCCUU
rnacentral:rRNA from 1 species